ensembl:lncRNA
GAGGGACAGAUAAAAUCCAUUAUAUUUUAUUACAAUUUGUCAUAUUAUACUAUGUUUUAAUUUUUUUUUUUUUUUUUUUUUUUUUCUUUUAUAAAACAUUAUUAAUUUUUUAAAAAAUAAAAAAUAAUAACAUAGUAAGAAAAAAAAACACAAAUUUGUUUAUUACGUUAAAAGAACAGAACAUAUUUUACGAACUUGCUAAAAAACUGAACAUAUUUGCGCAUAUGUUUAACAAAUAAAUUCGUUUAUAUUAUGUUAAAAAACAACACCUUCCCUUUUUUUUUUCUUUUUUUUAUUUUUUUGAGCGUGGCAAAAGGUAAAAAGACUCAAAGAAAUAUAUACUAUAACUUUUUAGGCAUAUUAAAUAAUAAUAAAUUGUAUUAUCAAAAUGAUUUUUCUUUUUCUCCACACGUUAGAAAAAAUGUUACUACGAGAAGUUCGUUAAAAUUUAUAGCAGCAGAAAAGCCUUUUUGUAAAUAUGAUAGUAAACAUAAAACUGUACAACUUAAAAAUAAUAACAAAAAGGGGAAAGCAAAAUAUAUAUUGAAAGGGCUAAGAGAUGCGGACAGCCACACUGGCAAUUGUGAUAACGAUAAAAGUGAUGAUUCAAUUAAUGUAAAAAUGGCCAGUGCGCAUAUUACUAACGUGCCCCAUAUAAAUAACACAUCAGUAAAAAAAGAUAUUAUAAUUAACAAACAUGACUCCAAAACAGUUAAUAGUGACAAGUCUAACUAUAACACUUUGCUAGAUUGUGACGUUAAAAACGAAUUAGAAAAAGAAAUAAUAGAAAAAAAGAUACAAGAUAAAAAAAAUGAAAUUAUAAAAAAAAUACAAAUGCCUAUUAUAGGUACCCAAUUAAAACCAUCAGGUGGAUUUACCAAAGAAAUACUUCAAUUAAUACAAGAAAGUAAUGAUUAUAUUAAUACAAUUAAUGAAGAGAUUAUUAAAGAGAAAAUAGAAAAAAAAAUGAGUGGUAACGAUUUAUCUUUUUUUGAUACUGAUAAAACAAUAGAAGAACAUGAACUAAAAUUUUUAGAAAAAAUAUAUGAUAAUAAUCAUAUAUUAAAUAUAUAUAACUUUCUUUUAGUAUGGAAAAAAAAAAAAACUAUUAAUUUGUCAGUUUUUGUUUCUAAAAUUACUGAAAAUACAAAUAUUCUUCCAGGGGAAAGAACUGUUAUUAAAUUUACUGAAAUUGAAAAGGCACAAUUUUUGAAGAAAAUCAAAAAAAAUCGUAAUGUAUGUAUAGCUAUGGUUUUUGUAGAUAAUAAAAAUGAAACUAACCAAAAUAGCACUACCAAUAACAGUCAGGACGUUAUCAAUCAUAACAUGUUUCCAAUCGGUAUCCUAGCCCAUCCAUUAGACAUAUCUUUACUAGAUAAAUGUGGAGAAAUAUCAGUAUUAAAUUUGUAUAGAUUUAAAAUAAAUAAUUAUAAUGUCACCGAUACAGAUUUUAUGGUAAAUGCUCAACUGUUUAAUGAUUUUAAUAACUCACUUAAAAAUUUUGAACUAACAGAAGAGAAUAUCAAAAUUAUUAUAAAUUUAUAUGAUAAAUUGUUAAAUCUUAAAAUAAAAUAUAAUGAAAAGAUAGGAAAAAUAGAAGAAAAUGAAAAACUAAAACUGUUAGAACAUAUGACAGAGCGAAUAGAUGAAUAUGUCAAUGUUUUAAAUAUAAAUAAGUCAAUUAAUUUCAAAAAAAACAUUACAGAACUUAGCUUUUAUACCAGUUUAUAUUUAGAAUAUUUUUCUUUUUUAGCCUUAGAUAUACAUGCAAAUAUACAUACUAAGUUACAGUUGAUGUAUACUGAUGAUACAGAGUUGCGUUUACACAACGUAAAAGUGUUUUUGAUGCAGUUAUAUGACGAGUUAAAAACUAAAUUAAGGGGGUUGUAAUAUGUGUUACCACACCAUGCGACUUAAAAUAAACAGAACGGAUAAAAAUAGGAAAAACA